UGCAACCACGAGCAGCUGUCACGGCAAAAUCAAAUGGGAUUAUUUGCAACCACAAACUGUGCGUACGUGUUGGUGAGAAAUGUCGGCGAGACCCUAAUACGUAUCUGUCAAGUUACAAUCAAGUGGUGGAAUUAAAUGGGAUAGUACGAACUCGUCUUAUGACAAGUGAAGACAUUCCACUAAAAAGCUCAAAAAUAAUUUUCUCCUCCUAUUUAUUGGGUAUACGUCGUAACAGUUGAUUCUACGUUCCGGGAAAUAACUGUUCCCAUACACUGUGGCACCUUUUGAUAUUCAAGUACACUUGAUGUUCCGUUACAACGCGCUCGAUGCCGGCAUUGGACAAAAUGCCCUAUAUAUGAAUGGAUUACUGUUGGCUGGACUGCUAGUUUACGAUCGAAUAUUGCCGGAUCACGCGCACCUGUCAGGUGUUCGACACGGCGCUUCGAGUCUAACGGAUCAUGCUGGAUCUGAGAAUAUGGUCGCAAUAUCUUGAGUUGCUGGGAGAAUUUGAUAUCCCGAUUCCUUUCCGACGCUCGCCAAUAGCAGUCCGUUUCUUCAUCACCACAUGGUGCAGCUGCUGGUACCAGCACGACACUAGUUAUUAAUGUAUUCUAAAUUAUAUUAUGCUCAAUGAAUUGCCUACUUUGAGCGAGAUUACAGCGGCACACUAGGAGUUAACUUUCUGAAAUCAGUAUGGCGAAAGGCAUCUAAGGUU